rnacentral:rRNA from 1 species
UACGUAGGGUCCGAGCGUUGUCCGGAAUUAUUGGGCGUAAAGAGCUCGUAGGUGGUUUGUCGCGUUGUUCGUGAAAACUCACAGCUCAACUGUGGGCGUGCGGGCGAUACGGGCAGACUAGAGUACUGCAGGGGAGACUGGAAUUCCUGGUGUAGCGGUGAAAUGCGCAGAUAUCAGGAGGAACACCGGUGGCGAAGGCGGGUCUCUGGGCCGAUACUGACGCUGAGGAGCGAAAGCGUGGGGGAGCGAACAGG